rnacentral:lncRNA from 1 species
GAUGUCUUGUUGCAAGUCUUUCUGUUUGUAUUUCCUAUAUUUUGGUUAGAGGGUUAGAGAGGUGUUUUAUAUUUUUGACGUGGAGGUCUUUAUAAAAGCCUUAUUGUAAAAACCUUGACCAUUAUAGUGCAUUUGCUUCCUGGAUUGGAAGGACACUGGAUGUAGGCAUUGAGGUCGAACCAGUAUAAAAACCUGCUUUUGAAUUCUCUAUCCCUACACUUUUACAUUCAAUCGACUCUGUUAUUUAUGUAGUUUACUUUUAUUUUCCGCUGCACUUACUUUUUCAAUACUUGCGAUUCAAGAAAUUGUUUAAAGUUUUAUACUUUGUGAAAAAGAUUGCGAAAAGACUAUGAUUUUGAAAACUCACCAAUU